rnacentral:rRNA from 1 species
CUACGGGUCGCACCAGUGGGGAAUAUUGGACAAUGGGGGAAACCCUGAUCCAGCAAUGCCGCGUGUGUGAAGAAGGAUUGUGGGUUGUAAAGCACUUUCGGUUGGGAGGACUGCUUCUAGCACUAAUAUUGUUGGAAGUUGACGUUACCUUCAGAAGAAGCACCGGCUAACUCCGUGCCAGCAGCCGCGGUAGAUACGGAGGGUGCAAGCGUUAAUCGGAAUUACUGGGCGUAAAGCGCGCGUAGGCGGCUAGAUCAGUCGGGUGUGAAAGCCCCGGGCUUAACCUGGGAACUGCAUCCGAUACUGUCUAGAUUGAGUACAGGAGAGGAGAGUGGAAUUCCACAUGUAGCGGUGAAAUGCGUAGAUAUGUGGAGGAACACCAAUGGCGAAGGCAGCUCUCUGGCCUGAUACUGACGCUGAGGUGCGAAAGCGUGGGGAGCAAACAGGAUUAGAUACCCGGGUAGUC